rnacentral:rRNA from 1 species
GCUAAGACUGGAUAGGAAGAAAUAAGGCAUCUUUUUUCUUUUAAAAGACCUAGUGAUAGGUAUACUUUAGGAGGGGCUUGCGCCAUAUUAGUUAGUUGGUAGGGUAAUGGCCUACCAAGACGAUGAUGUGUAGCUGGACUGAGAGGUUGAACAGCCACAUUGGGACUGAGACACGGCCCAAACUCCUACGGGAGGCAGCAGUAGGGAAUUUUCGGCAAUGGAGGAAACUCUUGACCGAGCAACGCCGCGUGAACGACGAAGUACUUUGGUAUGUAAAGUUCUUUUAUCAAGGAAGAAAAGCAAGUGGUGAACCAUUUGUUUGCCGGUACUUGAUGAAUAAGCCCCGGCUAAUUAUGUGCCAGCAGCCGCGGUAAGACAUAAGGGGCAAGUGUUAUCCGGAAUUAUUGGGCGUAAAGGGUGCGUAGGCGGUCUAGUAAGUCAGUGGUGUAAUGGCAACGCUCAACGUUGUCCGGCUAUUGAAACUGCUAAACUUGAGUUAGAUAGAGGCGAGUGGAAUUCCAUGUGUAGCGGUAAAAUGCGUAAAUAUAUGGAGGAACACCAGAGGCGUAGGCGGCUCGCUGGGUCUUAACUGACGCUGAGGCACGAAAGCGUGGGGAGCAAACAGGAUUAGAUACCCUGGUAGUCCACGCCGUAAACGAUGAGUACUAAGUGUCGGGUUAAACCGGUACUGAAGUUAACACAUUAAGUACUCCGCCUGAGUAGUACGUACGCAAGUAUGAAACUUAAAGGAAUUGACGGGACUCCGCACAAGCGGUGGAUCAUGUUGUUUAAUUCGAAGAUACCCGAAAAACCUUACCAGGUCUUGACAUGUUUUUGCGAAACGGUAGUAAUAUCGUGGAGGUUAUCAGAAACACAGGUGGUGCAUGGUUGUCGUCAGCUCGUGUCGUGAGAUGUUAGGUUAAGUCCUAAAACGAGCGAAACCCUUAUCGUUAGUUGCCAGCACGUUAUGGUGGGGACUUUAACGAGACUGCCAGUGAUAAAUUGGAGGAAGGUGAGGAUCACGUCAAAUCAGCAUGCCCCUUAUGACCUGGGCUACAAACGUGAUACAAUGGCUGUUACAAAGGGUAGCUGAAACGCAAGUUCUUGGCCAAUCCCCAAAAACAGUCUCAGUCCGGAUUGAAGUCUGCAACUCGACUUCAUGAAGUUGGAAUCGCUAGUAAUCGCGAAUCAGCAUGUCGCGGUGAAUACGUUCUCGGGGUUUGUACACACCGCCCGUCA